rnacentral:rRNA from 1 species
AGGACGAACGCUGGCGGUGUGCUUCACACAUGCAAGUCGAACGGGGUAGCAAUACCCAGUGGCGGACGGGUGAGUAACGCGUAGAAAUCUGCCUUGAGAUGGGGGAUAACAGUCCGAAAGGAUUGCUAAUACCGCAUAUGUAUGUAUCCGGACACGGGUGUAUAUGAAAGGAGUAAUCCGUCUUAAGAUGAGUCUGCGUCCGAUUAGCUAGUUGGUAGGGUAAAGGCCUACCAAGGCGACGAUCGGUAGCUGGUCUGAGAGGAUGAUCAGCCACAAUGGGACUGAGACACGGCCCAUACUCCUACGGGAGGCAGCAGUGGGGAAUUUUGUGCAAUGGGGGAAACCCUGACACAGCGACACCGCGUGAGCGAAGAAGCCCUUUGGGGUGUAAAGCUCUGUCGGCUGGAACGAAAAAAAUGACGGUACCAGCAAAGGAAGCAUCGGCUAACUACGUGCCAGCAGCCGC